CCUACGGGGAGGCUGCAGUGGGGAAUAUUGGACAAUGGGCGAAAGCCUGAUCCAGCCAUGCCGCGUGUGUGAAGAAGGCCUUCGGGUUGUAAAGCACUUUCAGUGGGGAAGAAAGCCUUGGGGCUAAUACCCUCGAGGAAGGACAUCACCCACAGAAGAAGCACCGGCUAACUCCGUGCCAGCAGCCGCGGUAAUACGGAGGGUGCGAGCGUUAAUCGGAAUUACUGGGCGUAAAGCGCGCGUAGGCGGUCUGAUAAGCCGGUUGUGAAAGCCCCGGGCUCAACCUGGGAACGGCAUCCGGAACUGUCAGGCUAGAGUGCAGGAGAGGAAGGUAGAAUUCCCGGUGUAGCGGUGAAAUGCGUAGAGAUCGGGAGGAAUACCAGUGGCGAAGGCGGCCUUCUGGACUGACACUGACGCUGAGGUGCGAAAGCGUGGGUAGCAAACAGGAUUAGAUACCCUGGUAGUC
rnacentral:rRNA from 1 species